UUAUAUGAUGGAAAUGAGGAAAAACAUGGAGGUUAUUUCACUUGUAAAUCUAAUGUGUGUGAGAAGGUCAAGCUUGCUGUUGGUGAUUGUAGUGGAAAGGAUAGUGAACCGGGUCCUUUAAUCUUCGAAGACCAACCAUCAUCACCAAGAUCUCCCCUGUCACCCAAAAAACCAUGGCAAGCAAGAGAAAAUAAUCGUGAAUGUCUGUAAACAUACACGAUUCCUAUAUUAGAGAACAAACUGGAAAUGUGUACAAGAACGUGAAGAGGAAGAUUGAGAGAGGUGUUACUUUCCCAACUUGCUUAUCUGUAAACAAUGUGGUCUGCCAUUUCUCUCCACUAGCUAGUGACGAGACAGUGUUGGAAGAAGGUGAUAUAUUGAAAAUGUAAGAUUUUUGAGCAUGGUUU